GAGUGGCAGUUGGAGGUAGCAAGAGAGUCAGUGCUUGGAGGGCUUCACUAGGCAUUGUAGCUGAAAGUUGAAGGAGCAGUGGGUGCUAGCUAAAAAACAUAGAGAAGAAGCCAGUGAGACCUCUACCUCUUGCUAGGCCAGACAAACUGGAGAGCGAGAGUAGCCUACUGGACAAGUAGGGAAAACAGCGCCUAGUAUAAAAAUGUUAGACAGGUCUGUCAGAAUUACGCUACCCUUACCCACACCAGUAGGAGGGCAUCAGCAAUAAUUUUUUCUGAGACUAGCAAUACUAGCAGGGCUCUAUUAUUACGUUUAAGAAAGCUAGUCUAAAUAGCCAAUAUAUACAGUAUUCCCUGGUAGUGAAAAGUGGAAAUCAAGAUCCUCAGUUUACAUAGACUGAAAUAGUAAACAUCAGCCAGUAGAUGAUCUAAUUAGGGAUAUCAACCUCCACAGGUGGACCCUAAUGAGAGAGGAGCCUCGUCAGGACUCAGGAUCAAUAGAGAGUCAGCCUAGGAAACUACAGAGGAACUAAGAGAAUUGAAAAAUCACUACUCCCAUCAGAUGUGAAUGAAAUAGGAAUGAAUUGCAUAGCAGUGUUUAUACUGCGUAGGAGACAUGCAGCACUCUACCAGUUGAGUAGGAGGCUGGAGCCUGAAGUCAGAAACAGAGGACCUGCAGCCACUUAAUGAAGUACAGCAGAGCCUAUGCAUGCCUUGGAUCUUCUAAGGGCAGUUGAAACUCAAUGUCAUCUCUGAAAGAAACUUGACACUCACCAGAUGGCUGUACAGGAGCUGCAGAUGUUUCCUGGUCCAUUUGUGUCACCUCCAGAGGGUGUAGAGGAUGUCCUCACUAUUGCCCUUGAUGGACUUCAAAGAAAAAAGAGAAUGUCUUGUGCUUAGACUGUACUUUGUUUUUUUAAUGUUUAUUUUUACAAAAUAGUACAUCUGGCACUUCAUCAUCAUGAACUUCUGUUACACUGGCAGAAGUUCAUUUUUAAUUGAUGCUAUAAACAAACAUGAUAUUAAUGUUAGACUAAAAGUGUACAUAUUAAAACUACAUUGUAAGUGUCUAACUUUAUUCUGAAUACUUACCAAGACACAUGUAGUAAGUGUGCUAAUAAUUAUUUAAUUACAUGUUUAUAUAACACAAUAAAU